GUUAGUUAUCACGGGAGACACACGGCGGGUGCUAACGUCCGUCGUGAAGAGGGAAACAACCCAGACCGCCAGCUAAGGUCCCAAAGUCAUGGUUAAGUGGGAAACGAUGUGGGAAGGCCCAGACAGCCAGGAUGUUGGCUUAGAAGCAGCCAUCAUUUAAAGAAAGCGUAAUAGCUCACUGGUCGAGUCGGCCUGCGCGGAAGAUGUAACGGGGCUAAACCAUGCACCGAAGCUGCGGCAGCGAACGUAUCACCCAAGACAACUUUACGGAGUUGACGAUUGACGGAGCGAAGCGACGUCAAAGCGUUCAUUAAAGUCGAGUYGGYUUARGGAUACGUUCGUUGGGUAGGGGAGCGUUCUGUAAGCCUGCGAAGGUGGCCUGUGAGGGUUGCUGGAGGUAUCAGAAGUGCGAAUGCUGACAUAAGUAACGAUAAAGCGGGUGAAAAGCCCGCUCGCCGGAAGACCAAGGGUUCCUGUCCAACGUUAAUCGGGGCAGGGUGAGUCGACCCCUAAGGCGAGGCCGAAAGGCGUAGUCGAUGGGAAACGGGUUAAUAUUCCCGUACUUGGUGUUACUG
rnacentral:rRNA from 1 species